UACGAAGGGGGCUAGCGUUGUUCGGAAUCACUGGGCUUAAAGGGCGCGUAGGCGGUUUGCCAAGUCAGGGGUGAAAUCCUGCAGCUCAACUGUAGAAGUGCCUUUGAUACUGGCGAACUCGAGGGAGGUAGGGGUGGGUGGAACUUCUGGUGGAGCGGUGAAAUGCGUUGAUAUCAGAAGGAACGCCGGUGGCGAAAGCGACCCACUGGAUCUCUACUGACGCUGAGGCGCGAAAGCUAGGGGAGCAAACGGG
rnacentral:rRNA from 1 species